rnacentral:lncRNA from 1 species
AAUUUUAACCAAUCCAAAAACAUUUAAAGAAUUUACUUAAGAAAUAUAAAGAAGUCAUAAAUUAAUUUCAAAGAAAAAUAAUAAAGGAAUUUUAAAGAAAUACUACAAUAGAAAUCUUAAAGAUAUAAUAAGAACCUUAAAAAAAAUUAAAAUAUAAAUCUUAAAAAAAUGACAAAAAACCUUAAAUAAAUCUUAAGUAAAUUCCAACCAAACCUUAGUAUAGUCCUUAAUAAAUCCUAAUGAAAUUCUAAAAACUCCCACAUAAAUCUUAAUAAAAUCCUAAAAAUAUUAGAAUAAAAUUUUAAUUAAAUUCUAAUCAAAAUUCUAAUUAAAACCUAAUGAAAUUCUAACCAAUUUCUAAUCAAAUUCAAAACCAAUCCUAACCAAAUCCUAAUCAAUCCUAAACAAAUCCUAAUCAAUCCUAAACAAAUCCUAACAAAAUUCUAAAAAAAUCCUAAAUCUUAACCAAAUUUUAAUCAAAUCUUAAAUCAAAUCCUAAUGAAAUCCUAACAAAAUCCUAAAUCCUAAACCAAAUCCUAAAAAAAUCCUUAGUAAAUCUUAAUUAAUUCUUAUAUCUAUUUUAUAAUUUUAAUAAAUAUUAAUUGAACCAUUGAUCUCAUCUAAAAUUUCACUCACACUUCAAUCUACAAAAAAUUGAUACACUCAUAUAAUUUUAAAAAAAUUCAAACUUACCAAUUGAACAAAAAAGCUCUUAAAUUUCUUGGAUGUUGGCUAUUUUCCUUUUCCAACCUAAAUGUUGAACUUUCAGCAACAAAUUUUCCUUGCUGAACUGUUCCAUUGCUUCAAAAAUCAGCUAAUGCAUAGAUUUUAAAGUCCAAAUAGUUCUCACAAAUUUUUACUUCAAUCAAACUAGUAAUUUUGCAAGUUCAAAAAAAUCCUUACUUUCUCUAAGCUUUAAGUAUCCAAGAUCAUAAUAUGAUAAAACUCUCAUAGCCUUCGAUUUAACUAUUUGAUUGAUAUCAAAUUUUUUAAAUAUAUUAAAAAAAUAUAUAAUGACA